GACGAACGCUGGCGGCGCGCCUAACACAUGCAAGUCGAGGAUAGCGGCGAACGGGUGAGUAACGCGUGAGGAAGCUGCCUCUCACAACGGGAUAGCCUCGGGAAACCGGGAUUAAUACCGAAUGGUGAGAGAUGGCCGCGCGUCUGAUUAGUGAGUUGGUGGGGUAACGGCCUACCAAGACGACGAUCAGUAACCGGCAUGAGAGGGUGACCGGCCACAGUGAGACGGAGAUACGGCCCAGACUCCGACGGGGGGCAGCAGAGGGGGAUAUUGGACAAUGGGCGAAAGCCUGAUGCAGCGACGCCGCGUGGGGGAUGAGGGCUUUCGGGUUGUAAAACUCUGUCGCAAUCGAACGGGUAGGUGGAGAAGAAGCGCCGGCUAACUACGUGCCAGCAGCCGCGGUAAUUC
rnacentral:rRNA from 1 species